GCCAGCUUUGAUCUCAGUCUACUGAGUCAUGCUGGACGUAUAUAUGGCUCGGUCACUCCAUUGCUGCAGCCAUUGGAAUGCUCCUGUCGGGGGUAACAGUGUCCAGCCUUACGGAGCAGGCCUGACCACCCUCCGAUGGUGUGGUGGGCACUGGGCCAGGAGGGAAGCUGGUGGGGUGUGGGGCAAGUACCAGGCAAAAGAAGUACCAGGCUCUAGGGGCAGACUGCUGGAUUAUGACUCAAGUUGACGCAGGAAGAUAACAAAUCCAGUCCUCUCCCCAGAGGAAUUGAGACCUAGGAGUGGCCUUCUCACAACUUCAGGGUGCAGGGUGGAGAAUAAGUAAGGAUCAGAUGCACCACACAUACCAGCAGCUUGUGCCAGGCAAUGUGCCUAAGAUGAGGUGGGGAAAGGCAGACACAGAGUUCAUGAAAUGUGGCCAACAGAAACGAGGUAGCAGAAUCCACCCAACUAGCUGUCUGAAAUACAAGGCAGGGACCCAAGGGAGGAAACACAUAUGGGGGACAUUUAAGGUCCCAAGAGACCGGGGAUGAGGUGACAGGACCUGGUAUGCUCUGCCUAUGACCUUCAGCCCCAUUGUGGGGCUGAGAAGCCUGGCAUUUGGAGGCUUCAGACUGCCACAGGGAUCUCCAAAUUCACCCACUGGGGAGGCAAAGGCUUCUGUUGGAUGUGUGGCAAGGAGGAGCCCUCUUCACUCAGGCAAGGUGGGCAGGCUUCAGAGGGCUGGGAGUUCUUUGCAAACAGCUAGGAUAGGGCUAGGACUGGGUAUGAGUACUGAGGACAGGGGCCAUGGUCACCUGGGAAAUCAAACCCAGAGUAAGCUUUUUUGGAGCCCACAGAUCUGAGGCUUCUGUUCAGAGGGGCAGGGACCAGGCAGAGCAGACCAGCUUGGUUUUUCACAAAGGUGGGAGUGAGUUGGAAAGUGGCCUUAGGUCACAAACACUAGCCACUUUAAGAGAAAUGCAGCUCAUCUCACUGACCUUGAAAUGAGUUUUGCAUGUGCACACACGAGUGUGUUUAUUUGUGGGUGAAAGAAAUUUAUCUAAACAAUUACAUACAUAUGCUCGUAAUAAAGCAUUUAGGACAUGCUGAAAAGUAAAUAAAAAUAAGAAUCACUUCAAAACCCAUAGGCCAGAGAUACAAUCUGUAAAUAUAUUUUGGUGGAUUUCCUUUCAGACUUUUCUCUAUGUAUAUAUUCAACAUAGGGAUAUAAAUAGAUAUUUUCAAUAAACAUAGUAUGAUACUAUUUUGUAAACUGCUUCUUCCAUUUGAUACUAUAUCUUGGGUACUUUUCCACAAUAAAAUGUUAUUCUAUAUCAUCAU
rnacentral:lncRNA from 10 species